rnacentral:snRNA from 1 species
CAAGCAUGACAUACAAGUUCAUGAAGUGUUCCAUAUUUUU